rnacentral:rRNA from 1 species
AGAACGAACGCUGGCGGCGUGGAUAAGACAUGCAAGUCGAGCGCUGAUUACAGGGUAGCAAUAUUCUGUAGUUGGAGCGGCGCAAGGGUGCGUAACACGUGGGUAAUCUGCCAUGAAGUUCGGGAUAACUCGCUGAAAGGCGAGCUAAUACCGAAUGUGAAAAUUAGGAGGCAUCUUCCGAUUUUCAAAGCUGGGGACCGUAAGGCCUGGCGCUUCAUGAUGAGCCCGCGGCCUAUCAGCUAGUUGGUGAGGUAACGGCUCACCAAGGCUAAGACGGGUAGCUGGUCUGAGAGGACGACCAGCCACACUGGAACUGAGACACGGUCCAGACACCUACGGGUGGCAGCAGUCGAGAAUUUUCAC